rnacentral:rRNA from 1 species
UACGAAGGGGGCUAGCGUUGUUCGGAAUUACUGGGCGUAAAGCGUUUGUAGGCGGUUAUUCAAGUCAGUGGUGAAAUCCCAGGGCUCAACCCUGGAAUUGCCAUUGAAACUAGAUAGCUAGAGUAUGUUAGAGGAAAGUGGAAUUCCUAGUGUAGGAGUGAAAUCCGUAGAGAUUAGGAGGAAUAUCGAUGGCGAAGGCAGCUUUCUGGGACAUUUCUGACGCUGAGAAACGAAAGCGUGGGUAGCAAACAGG